UAUCUGCUGUUAAGCCUUAAAAUUCAAAAGUUUGAGUUCUUAACUUCAUCAAUAAAUUCAUUCAGUAAUCUCAGUUCUUAUAUUCUAAUCGAUUUCAGUGCUUGUACUUUAUUUUUUUCGUAUCUCUAAUUAGUCAAGGAUUAGUCUGUGGUUCAUUUUUCUUCUUCGCAGUGCGCGUAUUUGUGUUGUGCAUGUUCACAAUUAAAGCACUAUAGUGAUAUUAACUAUCUAAUGGUUUUGUUAAUCAUAAAAGAGGAUAAAAUAAUAGUGAAAUGAAAGUACACUAUCGUUGUGGUAAAAUUAGAUAACAUAUGAAAAACAGGAUAAGCUAACAAUAUGCUUUAUCAACCAUACCAAAAAAAUUUGACGAUUUAUAUGCUUCCAAAAGUGUUAAUAAAAAUUGAAAUAAUCAUAGUAUUACUUAUUUAAAACAUGUAAAACUAUUGGGGUGAUGACACUGAAGAAUCUUAUGAAAAUGCCAGCAAAAUCACAUAUAUCAACAGAGCUGAAUGAUAGCAUCAGCAAUGUUUUGGGGAAGAAUGUCAAAGUUAUUUAUAAAUCCCUUAUUCGUAUGGAAUCAAGAGGUGAUAAGGUUGAUAACAAGGUUUUGGUUGUGACUGCAUAUCGGGUUUUUAUAACUACAGCGAAAGUACCUACUAGGAUUGACAAUGGGUUCCAUUUAAUGGAAAUAGAAGCCUUGGAGAGUAAAAAAGCGAAUCAUCUGUCCAUAACAUUGGUUCACGAACACAAGCCUGUCUCCAUUCUCAUAGGUGACGAAGGAACUUCAGAAGGUGUUAUAAAUGCCGUGAACGCUUUAACUGCCGCCUUCGAUGAUCUAUUUCCUAAUGUGCCAAUGGUGGAUAUAAUACAAAAGGUCAAUCUACUCUUUCCAUUACAAAACGUCAGCGGGACUAGGAAGCACCUAGCUUGUGGUGAUUUUUCUAAUCAGUACGCUGCCAUGUGUGAUUUAUGUCAAACACCAUUCAGAGCUGAAGUUGCGUGGGAUAUUGACACCAUAUACCUAGCACACGACAUAAGAAUGUUGCAUUUGAAAGAUUUCGAUCAUCUGGACCAAAGGGACCUGAUACCACUAGUGAUGGCGUUGCAACACAACACGUGGUUCGAGGGUAUUUGCGGGGACGGGGUGCGGGCGAGCGGCGAGGCGUGGGAGAGCGUGUGCCGCGCGCUGCGGUGCUCGCGGCCGGCCACGCGCCGCGUCAGCUGGCGCAGCGCACAGCUCCGCCACGACCACGCCGCCAGACUGGGACACGCGCUCGCCCGCGCCCGCCACGCGCCCGCACUGCACACCAUCGACUUCUCACAGAACCACAUCGAGGAUAAAGGUGCUAUUAGUAUACUGAGCGGCAUAUCGAACAAUCCAGAAGGACUGAGGCACGUUGCGUUGUCACAAUGCGGCGUGACGGGGAAGACGGUCGUACAUUUGGCGACCAUACUCAACGACAAUCCCUGUCAUCUCUCGACGCUCGCACACCUUGACCUGUCGCAUAAUAACCUGAAAGAUGACGUGCACAAUUUGUACAACUUCCUGGCACAGCCUAAUGUAUUGACCCAUUUGAAUUUGACUAACACGGAAACAACUUUAGAAAAUAUGUGGGGUGCCCUGCUGCGCGGGUGUGCGGCGCGCCUCACCUGGCUGUCCGUGUCCCGCAACCCGUGGUCGAGCGCCCGGCGCGCGCGGGACCCGCCGCCUUCCUUCCGACAAUUCUUCACGGCGUGCCUCGCGAUCAACCAUCUCGACUUCUCCCACUGCAAAAUGCCACCGGACGUGCUCAAGAGCUUGCUGCUGGGCCUGGCGUGCAACGAGAGCGCGGCCGGGGUCCAGCUGAAUUUGUCGGGCGUGCUGAACUCGGCGCAGGCCGCGCACGUGCUCGAGUCGUGUAUACACGGCGUGCGAUGCCUGCAGUCCCUGGACCUCUCCGACAACAGUAUGGAAUUCGAAUUGUCCGGUAUUGUGAGAGCUAUAGGGAAGAACCAUUCCAUCACACAUUUAUCGUUAAGUAGAUUGACCGGGAAGAGAUCAUACGCUCCCCCCCUAAUACAAGCUCUAGUCCACGUGCUGCAGGAACCAGACACAGCGCUGACGUCACUGGAUCUCAGCGAUUGCAAACUGAAGGGUGAUUUGUACGGAUUAUUGAACGCGUUGGGCGGAGCCCGGAGACUUCGUACACUGGACGUGGGAGGGAACCUAGCCGGCGACGCGGGAGCUAGAUUACUUGCCAAAGCCUUACAGUGUAACUGUACUUUGCACACGCUGUAUAUAGAUCGCAAUGCAUUUAGUUUACAAGGUUUGACUGACAUUGCGACGGCGCUCCGUCGGUCUGUGAGCGUGCGGCGCGUCGAGUUCCCGGGAUGCGACGCGGCGGCGGGCGGCCGCGCGGCCAGCGAGCGGGUCGCCGCGCUCUGGAGGGACUUGCACGAACGACUGGCGAACAACAAGAGGAGCGGUCAGACGGCCCGCGUCCGCGCGCUGGCCCUGGAGCGCGCGUGGGCGGGGGGCGACGCGGCGGCGGCGGCGGCGGUGCUCACGGCGCAGGCGGCCGCCGCGCUGCCCCCCGCGCCCCUCGCCUCCGCCCUCGAGCGGGCCGCCGCCGCCGCGCAUCACCUGCUGCACCAGUACCUACAGAGGUGCAGUGAAGUGUUCGCUGCGAUGGGAGGCGCCACGUCCGGCGGCGAACUCGUCUCGCUGCAAGCCGUGCGGGACGCGAUGGCGCCGUGCAGCAACACGCUCCAAGAUUUGCUCAAUCAAGCUGUAGAGAGCCUCGCGCUGACUGCCUGCGAGAACCUGGACAGCGCGGACAGCGAGCCGGCCACCGGCGCCGACGGUAACAUGCCCGACCUACUGACGCCCGUGUCGCACUCCGGAAAAUUGGAUUACUUGAAUUUGGCGACGCCGCUGGGCGGGCGGCGGCGGGAGCGCGGCGGGCGGCGCGUGCGGCCCAAGUCCGUGGCGGAGCAGCAGUGCAGCAGUAACGAGAUGCUGUCCCUGCCGCCGCUGCACGCCGAGGCCACCGACGGACUCGCCGACCUACCGGCACACACGCUCCGACAUCUCGUCAAAGGUCGGCCGCGGCGUGCGAAGACGCGCGCGCCCAGCCGGCCCGUGGCGGACGGCGCGCAGGAGAUGGACGAGGGGCUGGAGGAGUUCUGGCGCACGUGCCGCACGCCGCCCGGCAGCGAGGAGCCGUCCCUGUCGCGCACGUCGCGCUCCCUGCACUCGCUCUCGUCGCUGGCCUCGCCCUCGCCGCGCCGCGACUCGCACCGGGACGACACGCUGUACAGCGUUACGUCCGGGGAGAGUACGCCCGUUUUGCUCGAGUGCGACGUUUCCCGCUGCAAGUCUUCCGACAACGUAGGAGCAAAACCGGCAACCACUCCGCCGCCGUCUAGGUCCUCCGACAAUGUCAACACGAUGGGGAACGGGUGCGGUCGCGCGGGCGGCAAGGCGCGGCCCUGGUCCGUCGCCGGCAACCCCGACACCGCCGCCGUCUGCACCACCGAAGGAGUGGAGGCGUGCGUCGGCGGCAGCAUCGUGGGCAUCACGCCGGGCGCUGCACUAACCAGUAACCAACUUUCAGACGCUAUUCUGUACUGAGUUCUAGUGUCGAUGUGCCACUUCGUGUAGGUUCAAUGUUACGUGACCAUCCGUUGACGCCUGAGGGCGCAGAAACCUAAUCAAUGAGGGUGCGACGGUUAGCUGACCAGGGUUCAUUGUCCAGUUUCCACAAAAAAAUUAUGUAAAAUUAUUGGAUGCUCAUAAUUGUGCCAGUUAGAAUUUUAACAUUUUAGACAUUUUAUUACGGUCUUAGUGUUCCAGAAAUAUAAAUAAAAUAGCGAUGAAAUUAAAAGCACGAAUUUUUUUCUGUAUCUUAAUAGAAUAGUAUAAUAAAAUAAUAGUUCAUAUUUUCAACUGGAUACUAGGAUAUAUACAUUAAUAAUUAAUAGUCAAUCAAAUUUAUGUACUGUGAUUGAGUUAGUAUUGUGUUAUCAAUUAUUAUAGUCAUUAUAAGUUUUAGCAUAUUUAAUGCAAAUAUAAUAUAUGUAUACUCAUUUAAUUUUAUUUCACAUGUGUAAGUAAUAUUGAUUUUGUAGCCUUCGUCUUCGUAGUAACUUGCCGGAUUGUGAUUGAUUUAAAAAUUAUAUGUACUAAAUAAGUUUAUAUUCUAACUAAAUAGUGAUAAUACCUACGUGAAUUUUAUAUUCAUUCACAAAAGUAAUAGAUAUUUCUGAAAAUUAUAAAGUACUUUUAAAUAACAUUUAAAUUUAUACUUUAAAAUAUUGCGA